GCGUCCAUAGCUCAGCUGGUAGAGCACUCGACUCUUAAUCGAAUGGUCGCAGGUUCGAUCCCUGCUGGACGCACCC
rnacentral:tRNA from 3 species